GUCGAACGGAAAGGCCCUUCGGGGUACUCGAGUGGCGAACGGGUGAGUAACACGUGGGUGAUCUGCCCUGCACUUUGGGAUAAGCCUGGGAAACUGGGUCUAAUACCGAAUAGGACCACGCGCUUCAUGGUGUGUGGUGGAAAGCUUUUGCGGUGUGGGAUGGGCCCGCGGCCUAUCAGCUUGUUGGUGGGGUAAUGGCCUACCAAGGCGACGACGGGUAGCCGGCCUGAGAGGGUGACCGGCCACACUGGGACUGAGAUACGGCCCAGACUCCUACGGGAGGCAGCAGUGGGGAAUAUUGCACAAUGGGCGCAAGCCUGAUGCAGCGACGCCGCGUGAGGGAUGACGGCCUUCGGGUUGUAAACCUCUUUCACCAGGGACGAAGCGUAAGUGACGGUACCUGGAGAAGAAGCACCGGCCAACUACGUGCCAGCAGCCGCGGUAAUACGUAGGGUGCGAGCGUUGUCCGGAAUUACUGGGCGUAAAGAGCUCGUAGGUGGUUUGUCGCGUUGUUCGUGAAAACUCACAGCUUAACUGUGGGCGUGCGGGCGAUACGGGCAGACUAGAGUACUGCAGGGGAGACUGGAAUUCCUGGUGUAGCGGUGGAAUGCGCAGAUAUCAGGAGGAACACCGGUGGCGAAGGCGGGUCUCUGGGCAGUAACUGACGCUGAGGAGCGAAAGCGUGGGGAGCGAACAGGAUUAGAUACCCUGGUAGUCCACGCCGUAAACGGUGGGUACUAGGUGUGGGUUCCUUCCUUGGGAUCCGUGCCGUAGCUAACGCAUUAAGUACCCCGCCUGGGGAGUACGGCCGCAAGGCUAAAACUCAAAGGAAUUGACGGGGGCCCGCACAAGCGGCGGAGCAUGUGGAUUAAUUCGAUGCAACGCGAAGAACCUUACCUGGGUUUGACAUGCACAGGACGCCGGCAGAGAUGUCGGUUCCCUUGUGGCCUGUGUGCAG
rnacentral:rRNA from 1 species